GAGUUUGAUCGUGGCUCAGAUUGAACGCUGGCGGCAUGCCUUACACAUGCAAGUCGAACGGCAGCACGGGAGCUUGCUCCUGGUGGCGAGUGGCGAACGGGUGAGUAAUGCAUCGGAACGCAUCCUGGAGUGGGGGAUAACGUAGCGAAAGUUACGCUAAUACCGCAUAUUCUGUGAGCAGGAAAGCGGGGGACCUUCGGGCCUCGCGCUCUUGGAGCGGCCGAUGUCGGAUUAGCUAGUUGGUGAGGUAAAGGCUCACCAAGGCGACGAUCCGUAGCAGGUCUGAGAGGAUGAUCUGCCACACUGGAACUGAGACACGGUCCAGACUCCUACGGAGGCAGCAGUGGGGAAUUUUGGACAAUGGGGGCAACCCUGAUCCAGCCAUGCCGCGUGAGUGAAGAAGGCCUCGGUUGUAAGAC
rnacentral:rRNA from 1 species